rnacentral:lncRNA from 1 species
CAUGUACAUGGUUUCGAAUUACCCCCCAACUAAGGGGGUUUAGUUCCUCAUACUCACAACACAAAGUUUAUUAAAUUGAAACAUCGAAGACAUAAGAAAGAUUACACCUAAAACGCCCAAGAAUUCCACUUGAAUUUCUGCACGUCAAGCUCCUCUUCUUCUUCUCCUUGCUGCGGCAGAGAUGGUUAAAGGGAUUUUUGGAUGUGAUUUUGGUUUAGGAAGGGAGUUAGGAUGGUAUGGUGGUGCGGCAAGGGGUACGGAUGGUGUAUGGAGAUGGAGAAUGGUGGCUGGAGUAGAGGGAUGGUUGCGGCAAGGUGUAUGGGUGUGGCUGGAAUGGAUGAAGGCUGCGGCAAGGUGUGGGAAUAGGGUUUAGACGAUUUCUGAUUUGUAGCGUGGGAGUUCUUUCGGCCAAAGGAGUAAAACACAUAUAUAUAGGCACCUAAAACCCUAAUGAAAUCAGAUUGAAACAAUGGGCUAGGGUUAAGGUUUGUAAAAUAGGGCUUCUAGGAUGGAAAGGUGCGGCAUGGGCUUAGGGUAAAUAAUCAGAUUUUUGCAUGUGAACAAGGCCUAGGUGCGGCUGAUUAAGUGGCCAGGGUUAGGGUUUAGGUGCGGCAUAGGUCCAAGAAGUAAGGAUGGGUCAUCCAAAAGCCCAAAGCCGAGAAUAGAAACUCACAAAAAUGGAAACCUCCAAGAAUAGAAACUUCCAACUUUAGAAACUUUGGUUGCCAAUUCCGAUUUAGGAAAGAUCAACCCAAAAUGGAAACUUUUAGGCUUAGCUUUCCUACUUCAAGUAGGAAGCCUCAAAUCUUCAACUCUUCAAUUCCAUCCCAACCUUGUGUUCCAAGCAUGUCCUUUUCAAUCCAAGCUCACAUUUUGCUGCACAAGCUCCAACUUGCAUCAUCUCAUGUAAUAUGUCCUUUAAACCUGAAAACACAUGAAAGUAGCUUAAAAGACUACUUUAACGAAGAAAACAUAACAAAGAUGCAUAAGAACUAGCUAACUAAGGCGCAUAAAUAUGCUCCUAUCAGUUAUUAAGCAUGUUUAGAUAUGAUCUCAUGAAUGGAAUGCUACUACUUAGAUGCGAGAACCAGUGACACCAUAUGCUCAUACCAAAUUCAAACUCCACAAAUUUAAACACAUAACACUCAAGAUAGAAGUCAAGGGUUGUAACGAGGCUUGGGGUAAUGGUUAACAAAGGAAAGAUAGGGAUAACAAACGUUCCUAAGGAAAUAGCAAGCAAAGUAAUGAAAUCGAAACUUAGAAUUCACUUUGGAAUGGCGAAAUCAACUUUUAACACAAAGGGAAGAUUUGAGCAAUACUUAGGGCCGAAUUCAAUGUUUUGGACCCUUUCUUCAACAAACAACACUUUAGAACUCUUUUUCAUACAUUUUCACAAUUUUUUUUUUUCGACCCGUGCCUUAUUAAGGACUUUGGCACACACACUCACAAGAAUCACUUCCCCCACACUUGUUUUCUGCAAUACAUUAAUCAAAAGGAAUUCAAUUUGAGUCAUGUUUUACUAUGCUUCAAGAACAAGGGUAUGGACGGUCCUAAUCUAGGCUAGGUGAGGAUAGUGUGGGUUAACAAAGAACGUAGGCUAAACAAGGCUCAACAGGGUUAAACUUAAACAUAUAAUGAAUGGGAAAGGCUUUUUGGCUCUUGGCUCACUAAACAACUUCAUCUUGAAUAUGUGUUAUGCAAAUCAAUAACAAGCUUUGAAUGAAAUAGGCAUGAGUUCUAGCAUUUGGAACUAAAUGAUGAAACGCCUUCUAAGUAGCAACCAAGCAAAGAAUAAUGAGAUCAUGCAACGACUUUAGAAAACAACGAUGCGCAGUUUAUUAACUCUCCAAAUAAACGUUUAGGCUCAAGUCUCACAAGGUUGUAGCGUUACAUUUGAGUUCCUUCUUUCAAGCAUGUUACAAAAACUGAUUUUUUCCUUUAUGAUUGCAUGUGAAUUCAUAAAUUAUAACCACAACCAAGCAUACACCAAAGAGUAAAUCAAAUGUUUCAUCCAUGUUUUAUAACUCUCUUUAACAGUCAUGUAAUUAAAAACCAAAUCCUCAUCAUUGUGUUGGAAGGUACCCUAAGACACAAACAUACAAAAACAACUCUUUUUGGUUUUUUCAAAACAAUUUUUUCAAAAUUUUUAUGAGAUUUUCAGGAUUUUUAUGUCAAAACACACUAAAAUACUCCAAAAUAGCUUAAAAACACUUAAAACAGCAAGGAACAACACUAGAAGUAAUGGGUGACAAACUCCUAUUAAUUUCAUGCAAAACAACUUGGUUACCCCCCCACACUUAAAAUCAAACAUUGUCCUCAAUGUUUUAAGCAUAAACUCACACAAAAACAAGCAAACAAACAAUUAACGAAUACACAUGACAAAUAUGGCAAAGUAAAAACCAGACAGAGUAGAGUUUAAGAACGCAAAUCUGGUUUUGGAGAUAGAUGAUCUUGUUGACUUUCCACAGCUUUGAUCUUGAACUGGUUUGGAAUUUUGAGCGAGAAAUAUGAGAGUUCCUUGGUUUCAAAUCAGACUCCUUCUGCUGGGAUGAUUUGAUUGUGCAAUCUGCAUUCUUCUCUGCUUGUUUCUUCUGCACGG